UCUGAGAUCAAAUCUCGCGAAUUAAAUGAAUUUGGAGCGGGUUCCCUUUCUCCCUCCUGAAUCCUGAUUGAACUGAUUUUCCCUCUCUACAAUAACUCACGUCAAUUUCUCUCUCCUCACUCAAUUUCAAACACACUCAUCUCUCUCCUCAACGAAUUUGCUUGAAAUACACUUGCAAAAACAGCAAAUUAUGUCGUAAUUUUACAUUCUUCUUUCGAUUUCUUUCGAUUUUGUUCCUUUAAUUGUUUUUAUGUCGAAUUUGCUUGAAAAUAAACUCAACUAUCUGCGUAUGUUGCUCAAAUUUCUGCAAAUUACUCACUCUUCAUUUUGCAAUUUCUCACUCUUCAUUUUGCUUCAUAAUUUCAGAAAUUUGGUCUCAAAAUUUGAUACUUUUGUCAAUAUUAAGUUACAAAUUCAGUCGAUUUUUUGCGAAAUCGAAUUAUGCGGCGCUGAAUUCCUCAUGGAUCUGAAAAGUUGAUCUCGAACGCAGGUCCACUGGACAAUAAAGGUGAAAAAAGGAUUAAGUGGUGAUAAUCCUGAGAGAUAUCUUCUCGCAGACAUACCUAGUACAUGGAAAUCAAUGGAGGCACUUUGUUAUUCAGGUAGGGUUCUAGCAAUAGGUGUUAGCAAUUUUUCUUUGAAUAAACUAGAUGACCGGCCUUCUGAAAGUUGCUCGUGUUCCUCCUGCUGUAAACCAAGUGGAAUGUCAUCCUAUGUGGCAACAAACAAAGCUGCAUGAAUUUUGUAGAUCAAAGAGCUGAGCAUUCAUCUAUCUGUAAGUUUCAUUUGCAGUUUUGCUUGAAAAACUAAAUAGACUGUUUACUAAACUUGUUGUUCCACAGGGAUAUUCACCAUUGGGUUCACAAUCUUCUAAAGCAAACAAAAAACAGCUUAUUGUCGAUCCUAUUCUCAACAUGGUUGCAGAGGAACUUUAUUAGUCAAUACUUUUUGCUAGAAUUUUUAUUUUUAAGUAAACAGACAUUUAGUAAAAGUAAAUUAAGUAUCUUUAAAAGUAAAAGUAAAUUAAUAUACAUUGGUAUAACAAGUGAACAAGGACGUUUUUGCAGUGCAAUUUAAUCCAAAUAUAUGAAUUCUCAUAACGUAAA